rnacentral:tRNA from 1 species
GCCCAGCUGGCGAAGUUGGUAGACGCGCAGAGCUCAAACCUCUGUUCUAAUUGCGGAGUGCCGGUUCGAACCCGGCGCUGGGCACCA